GGCAGCUUCAUGGACAUGCGGAGUUUGCUCGUCCAGGAGACACUGGAGGCAGGUCAGCUCCUUCUACCUGCAUGGCUGUGGGAGUUUCAUUGGGUAGAAUCUGAUUAGUAACCUUUGGAUAAAUAGAACUGAUAUUUAAUGUUCAGCAUCAGGUGUAAAAUGAAGGUAGGGAACUGGAAAAAAUUUGUGCUGUAAAAUCUUCAAAUGUGGUUGCUUCUGAAUGGUGCUGGAUAAUUGUUUGGAGAUAUUGUGAUCUCUCCUCAUGGAAGUUCCAACACAAUGGAAUCAGAGAUUUCAGAGCAUGGAUUGCAUUUCUAACUCUUACUCCAACCACUAUGGGUAGAACCUUCCAAUUCAUAAUAACACCAUCAUGAAGUGGACCAAAAAAGGGGACUUCUAUUUUUCUCAUCAUCUGGAUACUGAACAUGUGAUUUUUUUCCAUUGGAUAUAUUAAAAUAAGGACAUCACCAAAUUCUGUAGGAAUAAUUCCUUUCCCGUAGUCUCUAGUAUGCUCUGACCAAACAAUGUGCACUUAAUCAUUUCCUAAACAUCUCAACUUGCUGAGAAGCAGUACUCCCAAGUGCUUAAAUCCUGAGCCUUGGAGCAACUAGGGACACAGUCUUCCUCUAAUCUACCAUCUUGAAUCUCCCUGUGGUUAUGGUUUUGACAGCACAAAUGUAAUAAU
rnacentral:lncRNA from 1 species